rnacentral:misc_RNA from 1 species
UCCUGCUUGACGCAGGCAGUCUCGUUAGAGUCCCCGGCAUGACCCGCUGGCAACUAACGAUAAGGGUUUCGCUCGUUAAGGGACUUAACCCGACACUUCACAGCACGAGCUGACGACAGCCAUGCAGCACCUGUGCUAGUUUCACCCGAAGGCAGCAUAGCCGACUUUCAUCGGUGCAUCCUAGCAUGUCAAACCCAGGUAAGGUUCUUCGCGUUGCUUCGAAUUGAUCCACAUGCUCCACCGCUUGUGUGAGCCCCCGUCAAUUCCUUUGAGUUUUAGCCUUGCGGCCGUACUCCCCAGGCGGCGCACUUAAUGCUUUUGCUGCGAGACCAACCCCGUCAGAAGGGCUGAUCUCUAGUGCGCAUCGUUUACGGCGUGGACUAC